GGCCGACGCCGUUAAUGCCCGCGUCAUCGCGUUGCAGCGCGAGGCCACCGACGCCGACGACAAGCUCAAGCGGCUCUAUCGGCUGAUCAAGGACGGCAUGACCGAAAUGGAUGACAUCUUGAAGGAUCGCCUGAACUCGCUGAAGGCAGNACACCUUGAAGGCCGAUCGGGAUCGCGCCAAGGCCGCGCUCGAACGGGCCAAAUCGCAUUCGUCGCAAGCCAUUCAAAUCGACCCCGCCCUGCUGGAGCAGUUCGGCCGCAGCAUGCGCGAGAACUUUAC
rnacentral:misc_RNA from 1 species